rnacentral:rRNA from 1 species
CAUUAUUGAAAUAAAACUGAUGAGUUGCUGCUGGCUCUCAAGAGAGCAUGUGCACGCUUGUCGUCUUUAUCUCUCCACCUGUGCACCUAUUGUAGACUUGGAUAACUCUCUGAAUGCUAGCAUUCAGGUUUAUGAGGAUUGACUUUUUGCCUUUCCUUACAUUUCUAGGCCUAUGUUCUUUCCAUAUAACCUCAAUGUAUGCUAUGGAAUGUAAUACUUAUAGGGCAUUCUGUGCCUUUUAAACCUUUAUACAACUUUCAGCAACGGAUCUCUUGGCUCUCGCAUCGAUGAAGAACGCAGCGAAAUGCGAUAAGUAAUGUGAAUUGCAGAAUUCAGUGAAUCAUCGAAUCUUUGAACGCAUCUUGCACUUCUUGGUAUUCCGAGGAGUAUGCCUGUUUGAGUGUCAUUAAUAUAUCAACCUCUCUCGUUGAGAGUGUGGAUGUGGGGGGGAGUUAUUUUGCUGGCCUUUAAAUGAGGUCAGCUCCCCUGAAAUACAUCAGCAGAACAAUUUGUUGACCUUGUUCAUUGGUGUGAUAACUAUCUACGCCGUUGAACGUGAUUCAGCUUCAUAACAGUCCACUGGACAAAUGCAUUUAUUAAUGUGACCUCAAAUCAGGUAGGACUACCC